GAUGAAUGCUGGCGGCGUGCCUAAUACAUGCAAGUCGAGCGAACAGAUGAGGAGCUUGCUCCUCUGACGUUAGCGGCGGACGGGUGAGUAACACGUGGAUAACCUACCUAUAAGACUGGGAUAACUUCGGGAAACCGGAGCUAAUACCGGAUAAUAUAUUGAACCGCAUGGUUCAAUAGUGAAAGACGGUUUCGCUGUCACUUAUAGAUGGAUCCGCGCCGCAUUAGCUAGUUGGUAAGGUAACGGCUUACCAAGGCAACGAUGCGUAGCCGACCUGAGAGGGUGAUCGGCCACACUGGAACUGAGACACGGUCCAGACUCCUACGGGAGGCAGCAGUAGGGAAUCUUCCGCAAUGGGCGAAAGCCUGACGGAGCAACGCCGCGUGAGUGAUGAAGGUCUUCGGAUCGUAAAACUCUGUUAUUAGGGAAGAACAAAUGUGUAAGUAACUAUGCACGUCUUGACGGUACCUAAUCAGAAAGCCACGGCUAACUACGUG
rnacentral:rRNA from 1 species